rnacentral:lncRNA from 1 species
UUUUGAUAUUCUUCCAGCAACCAAACCCAAUAGAGGGAAUCCUGGAGGAGGUGGAAAACACUGUCACUCUGUUGGUGGAAUUCCUGGGCAGUGGAAAGCAGCAGAAGCAGGAAGAACAGAGCUGGAACCAGACUCCAGCUGGCCCAGGACUCAGCUGGUGCUCCCUGUGUGGCUGCAGCUCCCUGGAUGUGGAGGGAGGAGGUCCCUGCUGGAGAGUGGGAGAAAUGUCCCUGCUGGUUGCUGGGUCCUUGGUGGGCAGAGAACUCUGAUCUUGGCAAGAUGGGUCAGUGAGUAUUGAACCAAUCCUGCCUCCUUUUAAAUGAGUUGUUUUAAUAGUCACCAGCAGGAACCACUUUCAGCCAGCUUUAGUUAAGUUUCUUUUCCACA